rnacentral:rRNA from 1 species
GAUGAACGCUGGCGGUCUGCUUAACACAUGCAAGUCGAACGAACUCUUCGGAGUGAGUGGCGGACGGGUGAGUAACGCGUGAGAAUCUGGCUGUGGGUCGGGGACAACCACUGGAAACGGUGGCUAAUACCGGAUGAGCCGAAAGGUAAAAGAUUUAUUGCCCACAGAUGAGCUCGCGUCUGAUUAGCUAGUUGGUAAGGUAAAAGCGUACCAAGGCGACGAUCAGUAGGGGGCGUGAGAGCGUGAUCCCCCACACGGGUACUGAGACACGGACCCGACUCCUACGGGAGGCAGCAGUAAGGAAUAUUGGGCAAUGGACGGAAGUCUGACCCAGCCAUGCCGCGUGCGGGAAGAAGGCCCUUUGGGUUGUAAACCGCUUUUAUCUAGGAAGAA